rnacentral:rRNA from 1 species
GACGAACGCUGGCGGCGUGCUUAACACAUGCAAGUCGAACGGAAAGGCCCUUCUUUUGUGGGGUGCUCUAGUGGCGAACGUGUGAGUAACACGUGAGUAACCUGCCCUUGACUUUGGGAUAACUUCAGGAAACUGGGGCUAAUACCGGAUAGGAGCUCCUGCUGCAUGGUGGGGGUUGGAAAGUUUCGGCGGUUGGGGAUGGACUCGCGGCUUAUCAGCUUGUUGGUGGGGUAGUGGCUUACCAAGGCUUUGCCGGGUAGCCGGCCUGAGAGGGUGACCGGCAACAUUGGGACUGAGAUACGGCCCAGACUCCUACGGGAGGCAGCAGUGGGGAAUAUUGCACAAUGGGCGGAAGCCUGAUGCAGCAACGCCGCGUGUGGGAUGACGGCCUUCGGGUUGUAAACCGCUUUCGCCUGUGACGAAGCGUGAGUGACGGUAAUGGGUAAAGAAGCACCGGCUAACUACGUG